GACGAACGCUGGCGGCGUGCUUAACACAUGCAAGUCGAACGGAAAGGCCCCAGCUUGCUGGCGUACUCGAGUGGCGAACGGGUGAGUAACCCGUGGGUAAUCUGCCCUGCACUCUGGGAUAAGCCUGGGAAACUGGGUCUAAUACUGGAUAUGCCCUGUCUCCUUAUGGGGUUUGGUGGAAAGUUUUUCGGUGUAGGAUGAGCCCGCGGCCUAUCAGCUUGUUGGUGGGGUGAUGGCCUACCAAGGCGACGACGGGUAACCGGCCUGAGAGGGUGAUCGGCCACAUUGGGACUGAGAGACGGCCCAGACUCCUACGGGAGGCAGCAGUGGGGAAUAUUGCACAAUGGGCGGAAGCCUGAUGCAGCGACGCCGCGUGAGGGAUGACGGCCUUCGGGUUGUAAACCUCUUUCAGCAGGGACGAAGCGUAAGUGACGGUACCUGCAGAAGAAGCACCGGCUAACUAUGUG
rnacentral:rRNA from 1 species